rnacentral:piRNA from 1 species
UAAAUGCCAACCAUCAUAAUA